rnacentral:rRNA from 1 species
GACGAACGCUGGCGGCGUGCCUAAUACAUGCAAGUCGAGCGGAUGGAAGGAAGCUUGCUUCCUAAAGUCAGCGGCGGACGGGUGAGUAACACGUGGGCAACCUGCCCCUAAGAUCGGGAUAACUUCGGGAAACCGGAGCUAAUACCGGAUAUGAUUAUGUCUCACAUGAGACAUAAUGGAAAGACGGUUUCGGCUGUCACUUAGGGAUGGGCCCGCGGCGCAUUAGCUAGUUGGUGAGGUAACGGCUCACCAAGGCGACGAUGCGUAGCCGACCUGAGAGGGUGAGCGGCCACACUGGGACUGAGACCCGGCCCAGACUCCUACGGGAGGCAGCAGUAGGGAAUCUUCCGCAAUGGACGAAAGUCUGACGGAGCAACGCCGCGUGAGUGAAGAAGGUUUUCGGAUCGUAAAACUCUGUUGUUAGGGAAGAACAAGUACCAUAGUAACUGAUGGUACCUUGACGGUACCUAACCAGAAAGCCACGGCUAACUACGUGCCAGCAGCCGCAGUAA